CGGCAUGUUGACACCGACGAAAAGCUAACGGCAAACUAGUUGUUUCCCGUAGUGCACGCAUCGAUUUUCUGUACUACCAAUCCCAGAGAUGCUCCGUUAGGGAUGGAAAAAACGUUUGAAGCUUCGGGGGGAUUGAAGGUCUUGUCAAAACGUUUGAAACAGCGCCAAGCAGCAUGCCCUUCACGUUUGUAGAUCUGACACUUCUCAUCCCCCCUUCCUCCUGAAGACAGGGCGCCACCAUUUUGGAGAAGAAGUUGCCACUGUCGCCCCCACCAUAGCCAGCACCAGGGUUCCCCCCCCCCC
rnacentral:lncRNA from 1 species